rnacentral:rRNA from 1 species
AUUGAACGCUGGCGGCAGGCCUAACACAUGCAAGUCGAGCGGUAGAGAGAAGCUUGCUUCUCUUGAGAGCGGCGGACGGGUGAGUAAUGCCUAGGAAUCUGCCUGGUAGUGGGGGAUAACGUUCGGAAACGGACGCUAAUACCGCAUACGUCCUACGGGAGAAAGCAGGGGACCUUCGGGCCUUGCGCUAUCAGAUGAGCCUAGGUCGGAUUAGCUAGUUGGUGAGGUAAUGGCUCACCAAGGCGACGAUCCGUAACUGGUCUGAGAGGAUGAUCAGUCACACUGGAACUGAGACACGGUCCAGACUCCUACGGGAGGCAGCAGUGGGGAAUAUUGGACAAUGGGCGAAAGCCUGAUCCAGCCAUGCCGCGUGUGUGAAGAAGGUCUUCGGAUUGUAAAGCACUUUAAGUUGGGAGGAAGGGUUGUAGAUUAAUACUCUGCAAUUUUGACGUUACCGACAGAAUAAGCACCGGCUAACUCUGUGCCAGCACCCGCGGUAAUACAGAGGGUGCUAGCGUUAAUCGGAAUUUCUGGGCGUUAAGCGUUUUUUGGUGGUUUGUUUAUUUGUUGAGCACUCCCUGGGGUCAA